GACGAACGCUGGCGGCGUGCCUAAUACAUGCAAGUUGAGCGCUGAAGGUUGGUACUUGUCCCAACUGGAUGGGCAGCGAACGGGUGAGUAACGCGUGGGGAAUCUGCCUUUGAGCGGGGGACAACAUUUGGAAACGAAUGCUAAUACCGCAUAAAAACUUUAAACACAAGUUUUAAGUUUGAAAGAUGCAAUUGCAUCACUCAAAGAUGAUCCCGCGUUGUAUUAGCUAGUUGGUGAGGUAAAGGCUCACCAAGGCGAUGAUACAUAGCCGACCUGAGAGGGUGAUCGGCCACAUUGGGACUGAGACACGGCCCAAACUCCUACGGGAGGCAGCAGUAGGGCAUCUUCGGCAAUGGACGAAAGUCUGACCGAGCAACGCCGCGUGAGUGAAGAAGGUUUUCGGAUCGUAAAACUCUGUUGGUAGAGAAGAACGUUCGUGAGAGUGGAAAGCUCAUCAAGUGACGGUAACUACCCAGAAAGGGACGGCUAACUACGUG
rnacentral:rRNA from 1 species